UACGUAGGGGGCAAGCGUUGUCCGGAAUCAUUGGGCGUAAAGCGCGUGUAGGCGGCUUGGUAAGUCCGCUCUGAAAGCCCGGGGCUCAACCCCGGGAGGCGGGUGGAUACUGUCAAGCUCGAGUCCGGAAGAGGCGAGUGGAAUUCCUGGUGUAGCGGUGAAAUGCACAGAUAUCAGGAAGAACACCGGUGGCGAAGGCGGCUCUCUGGGCCUUACCUGACGCUGAGGAGCGAAAGCGUGGGUAGCGAACAGG
rnacentral:rRNA from 1 species